UAUUUUUUAUAUUUGUUUUUAAAACAUGUUUUUAUUUGACAAAUUUAUUAUAAUUUACAAUUAUCUAAUAUAACAUAUAAAUCUAAUAUUAUUAACAUAAAUUUCGUUUUUAAUUAGAUAUAAAAAUUUAUUAAGGGUAGUAUAGAUAUUAACCGCUCUAAUUUUCAACGUGAGAGCUCGGAUGGAAAAAUUUACUUCACAAAUAAUAGUAUAGAUAUAUAGAUAGAUAGAUUUCGGAUUUAUGAUAAACGCUAGAUGAUUUGAUAUAUAAUGAUUUUCCAGCAUAUUGGUUACAAAUCUUUGGAACACACUAGUUUGUACAAAAUUUGAUUUUUUAUGCGCGAUUAUUUCUUAAUUUUUUAACGAUAACAUAUAAAUACUAUAAGUAAAAGUUAAGAUUUAUAUUCGGCAGGAUGAAUCCUCAGAUUGCUUUCAUUAGGUUUGUCUUUUUUUCGUUAAGGUCAUUUUAUUACAAGUUUUUAAGCAGCCUUUUGUCUUUGUGUCUGAACCCAAAUCCACCAAGCUUCUGCUGUCUUGAUUUUGUUUGAUUUGGUUCAAGAAGUUGAUCUCUGAGUCUCUGUGUGAAUGUCGAAUGUUUUGGUUGGUGGCAGGGGUGCGAUGAAGAUAAAGGGUAGUCUCAGUGCUUCGCAAGAAAUUCACCCCUGACAUUUUCCCAAAGCCUUCGAAGUUGUGAACACAGUGUAAGAAUGGUUUAACUCAAGUAUAAUACAAACUGUCCGAGCUUCGUUUCUUCUCAGAGAAGGCAAGUCAACAAACACAGUUUCUCCUCUUUCACUGCAGGAGUUGUAUUGAAUUGAGAUAAAUGUUACAUUUGAUUAUUUUUCUAUUUCACUCAACUUUGUUGAGAGCAUUCGUUAUUGUAAUUAAGAUGUUUAUGUUUUCAGGCUUCUGACUCGGAGGGUAUUGCAGAGCAGGAUUGUGAUAUGUUCUGAUUCGUUUGCAGCUGGAAAUUCACAGUCUGAUGGUGAUGAAGCCACUGCUGGAUUGGUGAUUAAGCCACUGCUGCUCUAGUAAGGUCAGUUUCCUCUCUAUCUCUUUUCUUUCAGUACUCUCUCUCUGUAAUGGAUGAGUUUUAAUUGUUUAAGAAGAAGCUCUGUUUAGGUUGUUCUGUCUCUUGAUUCUGUAAUGGAGUUAAUGUUUUGUUAUGUUUAUGUUGUGUCUUGUUGUUGUUG